GUACGAUUAGCUUGUUGGUGCAUGUAAAGGCCUACCAAGGCGACGAUCGUUAGCUGGUCUGAGAGGAUGAUCAGCCACACUGGGACUGAGCAAACGGCCCAGACUCCUACGGGAGGCAGCAGUGGGGAAUAUUGGACAAUGGGCGAAAGCCUGAUCCAGCAAUGCCGCGUGGGUGAAGAAGGUCUUCGGAUUGUAAAGCCCUUUCGGCGGGGACGAUGAUGACGGUACCCGCAUAAGAAGCCCCGGCUAACUUCGUGCCAGCAGCCGCGGUAAUACGAAGGGGGCUAGCGUUACUCGGAAUGAUUGGGCGUAAAGGGCGCGUAGGCGGUUCGUACAGUUGGAUGUGAAAUUCCUGGGCUCAACCUGGGGGCUGAAUUCAAUACGUGCGGGCUUGAGUUCGGAAGAGGGUCGUGGAAUUCCCAGUGUAGAGGUGAAAUUCGUAGAUAUUGGGAAGAACACCGGUGGCGAAGGCGGCGACCUGGUCCGAUACUGACGCUGAGGCGCGAAAGCGUGCAGGAGCA
rnacentral:rRNA from 1 species